rnacentral:rRNA from 1 species
GACGAACGCUGGCGGCGUGCUUAACACAUGCAAGUCGAACGGGAUUUAGUAGACAGAAGCCUCGGCUAAAGAUUACUAAUGAGAGUGGCGAACGGGUGAGUAACGCGUGAGCAACCUGCCUAUGACAGUGGGAUAGCCUCGGGAAACCGGGAUUAAUACCGCAUAAAAUCGUAGAAACUCAUGUUUUAACGGUCAAAGAUUUAUCGGUCAUAGAUGGGCUCGCGUCUGAUUAGCUAGUUGGUGAGAUAACAGCCCACCAAGGCGACGAUCAGUAGCCGGUCUGAGAGGAUGAACGGCCACAUUGGAACUGAGACACGGUCCAAACUCCUACGGGAGGCAGCAGUGGGGAAUAUUGCACAAUGGGGGAAACCCUGAUGCAGCGACGCCGCGUGAACGAAGAAGGUAUUCGUAUCGUAAAGUUCUGUCCUAUGGGAAGAUAAUGACAGUACCAUAGAAGAAAGCUCCGGCUAAAUACGUG